rnacentral:rRNA from 1 species
GACGAACGCUGGCGGCGUGCUUAACACAUGCAAGUCGAACGAAGUGGCGAACGGGUGAGUAACGCGUAUUCAACCUGCCCUUCAGAGGGGGACAACAGUUGGAACCGACUGCUAAUACCGAAUACUGCAGGAGGGGAUUGCGUCUGAUGAGCUAGUUGGAGGGGUAACGGCCCACCAAGGCGAUGAUCAGUAGCCGGUCUGAGAGGAGGAACGGCCACAUUGGGACUGAGACACGGUCCAGACUCCUACGGGAGGCAGCAGUAGGGAAUCUUCCGCAAUGGGCGAAAGCCUGACGGAGCAACGCCGCGUGAGUGAUGAAGGUCUUCGGAUCGUAAAACUCUGUUAUUAGGGAAGCGGUACCUAAUCAGAAAGCCACGGCUAACUACGUGCCAGCAGCCGCGGUAAUUC